rnacentral:rRNA from 1 species
GACGAACGCUGGCGGCGUGCUUAACACAUGCAAGUCGAACGGAAAGACCUCUUUCGGGGGGUACUCGAGUGGCGAACGGGUGAGUAACACGUGAGUAACCUGCCCUUGACUUUGGGAUAACUUCAGGAAACUGGGGCUAAUACCGGAUAGGAGCUCCUGCUGCAUGGUGGGGGUUGGAAAGUUUCGGCGGUUGGGGAUGGACUCGCGGCUUAUCAGCUUGUUGGUGGGGUAGUGGCUUACCAAGGCUUUGACGGGUAGCCGGCCUGAGAGGGUGACCGGCCACAUUGGGACUGAGAUACGGCCCAGACUCCUACGGGAGGCAGCAGUGGGGAAUAUUGCACAAUGGGUGGAAGCCUGGUGCAGCAACGCCGUGGGCGGGAGGACGGCCUUCGGGUUGUAAACCGCUUUCGCUCAUGACGAAGCUUUGUGUGACGGUAGUGGGUAAAGAAGCACCGGCUAACUACGUG